rnacentral:ribozyme from 12 species
CUUGUUUUUUGUUGUUUCUUGUUGUUGUUUUUCUUUCGUCUUUUUUGUUUCUUGAUCCAUCCACGCAAUUGUGUCAUAAAGGGCAUGACGGCAUAACUCUUGGGUAAAUCAUCACGAUGAAACCAUUGAAUAGAUCCUACUUC